CACAAGGCGUGCCUACAAUACAACAACGAACGCAAAAUAAAGAAAUAGUCAAAUUUGAUUUACCGGUUAGGCUCAAUAGCAUCCAAAAUGGUUCCCAGGAAGUAGCCAUGAUGCCUACAUCCUCAGGAAUUCUGGUGUGUGGAGAUUGUUUGAGACAAAUCAAAUGCCUGAAGGACAUCUCCUCGCUGAUUCUGCAUAUCCUCUUAAAAAAUGGAUUUGGACACCAUUGAAAGAGAACCAGGUUGUUGGGCCUGCUGAAUUAAGAUAUAAUGAAGCACAUAUCUGAACACGUGCUAUAAUAGAACGACUGUUUGGUGUUCUAAAAAUGCGCUUUCAAUGCCUGGACAGAUCAGGGGGGGGAUCUCCAUUUCAGUCCGGAAAAAGCUAUAAAAAUCAUAGUGGCAUGUUGCUGUCUACACAACAUGGCACAGGAGCAUGGGAUGUUGAACGACUUAAUUCCAACACCACAGCCCCCAGGUGAAAUCUUUGAGCCUGAUGUAAUUAAUCAUCCCCAACCCCUCAAUGCCCAUUUGGAGAGAUCUGCAACUAUUCAAGAUUUCUUUUCAGAUUGAAGAUUCUCAGAAAUGGAAUACCACUCCCCUCCCUCUCUCCUCAUCCCUAUAUUUACCACAUUUUCCCUAAAUAAAUGUGUACUUUACUCAAAUUCAAA